rnacentral:rRNA from 1 species
GACGAACGCUGGCGGCGUGCUUAACACAUGCAAGUCGAACGGAAAGGCCCUGCUUUUGUGGGGUGCUCGAGUGGCGAACGGGUGAGUAACACGUGAGUAACCUGCCCUUGACUUUGGGAUAACUUCAGGAAACUGGGGCAAAUACCGGAUAGGAGCUCCUGCUGCAUGGUGGGGGUUGGAAAGUUUCGGCGGUUGGGGAUGGACUCGCGGCUUAUCAGCUUGUUGGUGGGGUAGUGGCUUACCAAGGCUUUGACGGGUAGCCGGCCUGAGAGGGUGACCGGCCACAUUGGGACUGAGAUACGGCCCAGACUCCUACGGGAGGCAGCAGUGGGGAAUAUUGCACAAUGGGCGGAAGCCUGAUGCAGCAACGCCGCGUGCGGGAUGACGGCCUUCGGGUUGUAAACGGCUUUCGCCUGUGACGAAGCGUGAGUGACGGUAAUGGGUAAAGAAGCACCGGCUAACUACGUG